AGAGUUUGAUCCUGGCUCAGAAUCAACGCUGGCGGCGUGCCUAACACAUGCAAGUCGAACGAGAAAGUGGAGCAAUCCAUGAGUAAAGUGGCGCACGGGUGAGUAACACGUGACUAACCUACCCUUGAGUGGGGGAUAACCUAGGGAAACCUGGGCUAAUACCGCAUAAUACCUACGGGUCAAAGGAGCAAUUCGCUUAAGGAGGGGGUCGCGGCCGAUUAGUUAGUUGGCGGGGUAAUGGCCCACCAAGACAGUGAUCGGUAUCCGGCCUGAGAGGGCGCACAGACACACUGGAACUGAAACACGGUCCAGACUCCUACGGGAGGCAGCAGUGAGGAAUUUUGCGCAAUGGGGGAAACCCUGACGCAGCAACGCCGCGUGGAGGAUGAAGUCUCUUGGGACGUAAACUCCUUUCGAUCGGGACGAUAAUGACGGUACCGAGAGAAGAAGCCCCGGCUAACUUCGUGCCAGCAGCCGCGGUAAUACGAGGGGGGCGAGCGUUGUUCGGAAUUAUUGGGCGUAAAGGGUGCGUAGGCGGUUCGGUAAGUCUUGUGUGAAAUCUUCGGGCUCAACUCGAAGUCUGCACUAGAAACUGCCGGGCUUGAGUGUGGGAGAGGUGAGUGGAAUUUCCGGUGUAGCGGUGAAAUGCGUAGAUAUCGGAAGGAACACCUGUGGCGAAAGCGGCUCACUGGACCACAACUGACGCUGAGGCACGAAAGCUAGGGGAGCAAACAGGAUUAGAUACCCCAGUAGUCC
rnacentral:rRNA from 1 species